CGUACACUCCUACGGGAGGCAGCAGUGGGGAAUAUUGGACAAUGGGCGCAAGCCUGAUCCAGCCAUGCCGCGUGAGUGAUGAAGGCCCUAGGGUUGUAAAGCUCUUUCACCGGUGAAGAUAAUGACGGUAACCGGAGAAGAAGCCCCGGCUAACUUCGUGCCAGCAGCCGCGGUAAUAAGAAGGGGGCUAGCGUUGUUCGGAUUUACUGGGCGUAAAGCGCACGUAGGCGGACUAUUAAGUCAGGGGUGAAAUCCCGGGGCUCAACCCCGGAACUGCCUUUGAUACUGGUAGUCUUGAGUUCGAGAGAGGUGAGUGGAAUUCCGAGUGCAGAGGUGAAAUUCGUAGAUAUUCGGAGGAACACCAGUGGCGAAGGCGGCUCACUGGCUCGAUACUGACGCUGAGGUGCGAAAGCGUGGGGAGCAAACAGGAUUAGAUACCCUUGUAGUCCC
rnacentral:rRNA from 1 species